rnacentral:rRNA from 1 species
CGGGAAACCGGAGACUAAUACCGGAUAAUAUUUCGAACCGCAUGGUUCGAUAGUGAAAGAUGGUUUUGCUAUCACUUAUAGAUGGACCCGCGCCGUAUUAGCUAGUUGGUAAGGUAACGGCUUACCAAGGCGACGAUACGUAGCCGACCUGAGAGGGUGAUCGGCCACACUGGAACUGAGACACGGUCCAGACUCCUACGGGAGGCAGCAGGC